CCCCGUGAACCUUUACUAUAGCUUGGCACUGAACUUUGAAUCUAUCUGUGUAGGAUAGGUGGGAGGCUUUGAAGCGUGAUCGCUAGAUUGCGUGGAGCCAUCCUUGAAAUACCACCCUGGUACAUUUGAGGUUCUAACCUAGGUCCAUUAUCUGGAUCAGGGACAGUGUCUGGUGGGUAGUUUGACUGGGGCGGGCGCCCCCCUAAACGGAAAAGGGG
rnacentral:rRNA from 1 species